rnacentral:rRNA from 1 species
UCAGUCGACUCCUACGGGGAGGCAGCAGUGGGGAAUAUUGCACAAUGGGGGAAACCCUGAUGCAGCCAUGCCGCGUGUGUGAAGAAGGCCUUCGGGUUGUAAAGCACUUUCAGUAGGGAGGAAGGUAGUGUAGUUAACACCUGCAUUAUUUGACGUUACCUACAGAAGAAGCACCGGCUAACUCCGUGCCAGCAGCCGCGGUAAUACGGAGGGUGCGAGCGUUAAUCGGAAUUACUGGGCGUAAAGCGCAUGCAGGCGGCCUGUUAAGUCAGAUGUGAAAGCCCGGGGCUUAACCUCGGAAUUGCAUUUGAAACUGGCAGGCUAGAGUCUUGUAGAGGGGGGUAGGAAUUUCAGGUGUAGCGGUGAAAUGCGUAGAAAUCUGAAGGAAUACCAGUGGCGAAGGCGGCCCCCUGGACAAAGACUGACGCUCAGAUGCGAAAGCGUGGGGAGCAAACAGGAUUAGAUACCCUGGUAG